rnacentral:rRNA from 1 species
CCGUAGGUGACCUGCGGUAAGGAUCAUUACCGAACUGUCGACACGAGUUGUUGCUGGNCCUCAAACGGGGGCAUGUGCACGCUCUGUUCACACAUCCACUCACACCUGUGCACCCUCUGUAGUUCUGUGGCUUCGGGACUCUGUCCCCUUGCCGUGGUCCUACGUCUUUACACACACACUGUAAUGAAGUCUUAUGGAAUGUAUGUCGCGUCUAACGCAAUACAAUACAACUUUCAGCAACGGAUCUCUUGGCUCUCGCAUCGAUGAAGAACGCAGCGAAAUGCGAUAAGUAAUGUGAAUUGCAGAAUUCAGUGAAUCAUCGAAUCUUUGAACGCACCUUGCGCCCUUUGGCUAUUCUGAAGGGCAUGCCUGUUUGAGUAUCAUGAACAUCUCAACUCUCACGGUUCGCCGUGAUGAGCUUGGACUUUGGGGGUCUUGCUGGCCUGCGGGUUGGCUCCUCUCAAAUNGAUCAGCUUGCCAGCGUUUGGUGGCAUCACGUGUGUGAUAACUAUCUACGCUCGUGGUUCUCNGCCAGGUAACCUUCGGUGACGGAGGUUCGCUGGAGCUCACAAACGUCUCUCCUCAGUGAGGACAG